CCAACGAGGGCAUCCGGAGAAGUCGCUGUCUCUCGGCUCUGCCCGUGUGGCGCAGGGGAGCGCAGGCCUCCGGGCCCGUGACGUAGAGUCCCGUUCCACGGCGUUGGAGAGCAAGCUGGGCCCCGAGUCUGCAGCCUGCAUAUUCCUACUGCUUCUCUGAGCCUCCGGGCGGUUACAGAGGAGAUAAACCAUGCAGGACACAGUU
rfam:Picoides pubescens contig71952, whole genome shotgun sequence.